rnacentral:rRNA from 1 species
GUCAGAGGUGAAAUUCUUGGAUUUUUGGAAGACAUACCGCUGCGAAAGCGUUUGGCAAGGAUAUACCCAUUGAUCAAGGACGAAAGUUAGGGGAUCGAAGACGAUUAGAUACCGUCGUAGUCUUAACCAUAAACGAUGCCAUCUAAGAGAUGGUGUAUUGAAUGAUAGAAUCGUACAUCCUUUUUUUCCGGGAAACCAAAGCUUUUGGGUUCUGGGGGGAGUAUGGUCGCAAGUCUGAAACUUAAAGGAAUUGACGGAAGGGCACCACCAGGAGUGGACUGCGGCUUAAUUUGACUCAACACGGGGCAACUUACCAGGUCCGGACAUUUUUAUGAUUGACAGAUUGAUAGCUCUUUCAUGAUUGAAUGGGUGGUGGUGCAUGGCCGUUCUUAGUUGGUGGAGUGAUUUGUCUGGUUAAUUCCGUUAACGAACGAGACCUUUUCCUGCUAACUAGCUUUAUUUAUUUUCUUUGGAAGGGAAUGGAUAAACUUCUUAGAGGUACUAUUCGUUUUUCACGGAUGGAAGUUGUAGGCAAUAACAGGUCUGUGAUGCCCUUUGAUGUCCUGGGCUGCACGCGGGCUACACUGAUGCAUUCAAAGCGUUUUUUUUCCUUAAUUUKGGGAGGGUCCUUUGGGUUA